rnacentral:rRNA from 1 species
UACGUAGGGUGCGAGCGUUGUCCGGAAUUAUUGGGCGUAAAGAGCUCGUAGGCGGUUUGUCGCGUCUGCCGUGAAAGUCCGGGGCUUAACCCCGGAUCUGCGGUGGGUACGGGCAGACUAGAGUGCAGUAGGGGAGACUGGAAUUCCUGGUGUAGCGGUGAAAUGCGCAGAUAUCAGGAGGAACACCGAUGGCGAAGGCAGGUCUCUGGGCUGUAACUGACGCUGAGGAGCGAAAGCAUGGGGAGCGAACAGG